CAGUAGCCGCGGUAACACGAAGGGGGCUAGCGUUGCUCGGAAUCACUGGGCGUAAAGGGUGCGUAGGCGGGUUUCUAAGUCAGGGGUGAAAUCCUGGAGCUCAACUCCAGAACUGCCCUUGAUACUGGAAGUCUUGAGUAUGGGAGGGGUGAGUGGAACUGCGAGUGUAGAGGUGAAAUUCGUAGAUAUUCGCAAGAACACCAGUGGCGAAGGCGGCUCACUGGCCCAUAACUGACGCUGAGGCACGAAAGCGUGGGGAGCAAACAGGAUUAGAUACCCGGGUAGUCCCUGUCUCUUAUAA
rnacentral:rRNA from 1 species